rnacentral:rRNA from 1 species
CCUACGGGAGGCAGCAGUGGGGAAUAUUGGACAAUGGGGGCAACCCUGAUCCAGCCAUGCCGCGUGUGUGAAGAAGGCCCUCGGGUUGUAAAGCACUUUCAGUGAGGAAGAACGCCUGGUGGUUAAUACCCAUCAGGAAAGACAUCACGCACAGAAGAAGCACCGGCUAACUCCGUGCCAGCAGCCGCGGUAAUACGGAGGGUGCGAGCGUUAAUCGGAAUUACUGGGCGUAAAGCGCGCGUAGGUGGCUUGAUAAGCCGGUUGUGAAAGCCCCGGGCUCAACCUGGGAACGGCAUCCGGAACUGUCAAGCUAGAGUGCAGGAGAGGAAGGUAGAAUUCCCGGUGUAGCGGUGAAAUGCGUAGAGAUCGGGAGGAAUACCAGUGGCGAAGGCGGCCUUCUGGACUGACACUGACACUGAGGUGCGAAAGCGUGGGUAGCAAACAGGAUUAGAUACCCUUGUAGUC